UACAGAGGUGCCGAGCGUUAGGCGGAAUCACUGGGCUUAAAGCGUGUGUAGGCGGACCGGUAAGUACCUUGUGAAAUCCCACGGCUCAACCGUGGAACUGCUGGGUAUACUGCCGGUCUUGAGCGACUUAGGGGCAGACGGAACAAGUGGUGGAGCGGUGAAAUGCGUAGAUAUCACUUGGAACGCCGACGGUGAAAACAGUCUGCUGGGAGUCCGCUGACGCUGAGACACGAAAGCCAGGGGAGCGAACGGGAUUAGAUACCCCGGUAGUCCUGGCCCUAAACGAUGUCGACUAGGUCGUGGCAGCUCUGACGUUGUCGCGGCCGAAGCUAAAGUGCUAAGUCGACCGCCUGGGAAGUACGGUCGCAAGGCUAAA
rnacentral:rRNA from 1 species